rnacentral:lncRNA from 1 species
CUUCCCGAACGAGGGCCGUCCAGUCCCUGGCCGGCUCUCGGUUCUUGAGCAAACUCCUCCACUGCUGGUAGGAUGCUCAUAGAUGAAGAAAAGAGACUUUAGGCAAGUGGUUCUGGUAGCUCAGCUGGUUAGAGCAAAGGACUGCAAAUCCUUUUUUGCUUGUUUCAGUGGGAAGAGCAAGGGGCAUUGCCCUUGAAAUCCUUCAGUGGAAAGAUUCCUGCCGGAUGCACUGCCUCUUAAAGACAGAAACAGAGGAGGGAAAGAAGGUAGUAUAGGGAACUUGCUUUUGGAUUCUUAUCGAAAGUGAAUCCCUCUAACACUUCCGUUAGUGUUUUAUGACAAAAUCUU